UACAGAGGGGGCAAGCGUUGUUCGGAAUUACUGGGCGUAAAGGGCGCGUAGGCGGCCUUCUAAGUCAGACGUGAAAUCCCCGGGCUCAACCCGGGAACUGCGUCUGAGACUGGAAGGCUUGAAUCCGGGAGAGGGAUGUGGAAUUCCAGGUGUAGCGGUGAAAUGCGUAGAUAUCUGGAGGAACACCGGUGGCGAAGGCGGCAUCCUGGACCGGCAUUGACGCUGAGGCGCGAAAGCCAGGGGAGCAAACGGG
rnacentral:rRNA from 1 species